rnacentral:rRNA from 1 species
UGGGGAAUUUUGCACAAUGGGGGAAACCCUGAUGCAGCGACGCCGCGUGAUUUAGAAGGCCUUCGGGUUGUAAAAAUCUUUUGUAUAGGAAGAAAAUGACAGUACUAUACGAAUAAGGUCCGGCUAAUUACGUGCCAGCAGCCGCGGUAAUACGUAAGGACCGAGCGUUGUCCGGAAUCAUUGGGCGUAAAGGGUACGUAGGCGGGUUUUUAAGUUAGAAGUCAAAGGCUAUAGCUCAACUAUAGUAAGCUUCUAAAACUGGAAACCUUGAGAGAUGGAAGGGAAAGUGGAAUUCCUAGUGUAGCGGUGGAAUGCGCAGAUAUUAGGAGGAAUACCGGUGGCGAAGGCGACUUUCUGGCCAUUUUCUGACGCUGAGGUACGAAAGCGUGGGUAGCAAACAGG